ACUCAAAUGAAUUGACGGGGACCCGCACAAGUGGUGGAGCGUGUUCUUUAAUUCGAAGCUAAGCGAAGAACCUUACCAGGGCUUGACAUCCUUGGAAUCUCUCCGAAAGGAGAGAGUACUUUAUUGGACCAAGUGACAGGUGUUGCAUGGCCGUCGUCAGCUCGUGUCGUGAGAUGUUUGGUUAAGUCCAUUAACGAGCGCAACCCUUAUGAUUAGUUGUAUUUUUCUAAUCAGACUGCCUCGGCAACGGGGAGGAAGGAGGGGAUGAUGUCAGGUCAUUAUUACCCUUACGUCCUGGGCUAGAAACGCGCUACAAUGGCCGGUACAAAGGGCAGCCAACCCGCGAGGGGGAGCAAAUCCCAUCAAAACCGGUCCCAGUUCGGAUUGCAGGCUGAAACUCGCCUGCAUGAAGCCGGAAUCACUAGUAAUCGUAGGUCAGCACACUACGGUGAAUACGUUCCCGGGUCUUGCACACACCGCCCGU
rnacentral:rRNA from 1 species